CCUACGGGGGGCUGCAGUCGAGAAUAGUCUACAAUGGACGAAAGUCUGAUAGUGCGACGCCGCGUGAACGAAGAAGCCCUUCGGGGUGUAAAGUUCUUUUAUAUGUGAGCAAUGCUUCUUAUAUGAAUAGUAUGAGGAGAGAGAUAUUAGCAUAUGAAUAAGCAACGGCUAACUCCGUGCCAGCAGCCGCGGUAACACGGGGGUUGCAAGCGUUGUCCGGAAUUACUAGGCGUAAAGGGCAGGUAGGCGGAUAGAUAAGUUUGAUGUUUAAGGCAGCGGCUCACCCGCUGUAAGGCAUCAGAUACUGUUUAUCUGGAAUACGGUUGGGGAAGACAGAAUUCCUGGUGUAGCGGUGGAAUGCGCAGAGAUCAGGAGGAAUACCGAAGGCGAAGGCAGUCUUCUAAGCCGUUAUUGACGCUAAACUGCGAAGGUGUGGGUAUCAAACAGGCUUAGAUACCCGAGUAGUC
rnacentral:rRNA from 1 species